rnacentral:rRNA from 1 species
CCUUUAAGGGUCCUGAAGGAACGUUGAAGACGACGACGUUGAUAGGCCGGGUGUGUAAGCGCAGCGAUGCGUUGAGCUAACCGGUACUAAUGAACCGUGAGGCUUAACCUUACAACGCCGAAGGUGUUU